GACGAAGGUGGCAAGCGUUGUUCGGAAUCACUGGGCUUAAAGCGCACGUAGGCGGCCUGAUAAGCACUUUGUGAAAUCCCCCGGCUCAACCGAGGAAUUGCAGGGUGGACUGUCGGGCUUGAGGCAGGUAGGGGCGAGUGGAACUCUUGGUGGAGCGGUGGAAUGCGUAGAUAUCAAGAGGAACGCCGGUGGUGAAGACGACUCGCUGGGCCUGUCCUGACGCUGAGGUGCGAAAGCCAGGGGAG
rnacentral:rRNA from 1 species